AUGCAUCAAACUAGAAGCUCUUCUUUCUUCCUCCUCUCUUCGACCACAAUACAGAGCAAAUCUUCAAGCUCAGACAUGGCUUUCCACCAAAGAUCGACAAGUUUGCCUUCUAGGCCUCACGUCAGUGAGACCGAAGUCGAGCUAGAGCUUCAGAGCCUAGAAGCAAGCAUCUCUUCCUCUAAUUCCAUCAGCAUGAUGUGCGAUGGUCUCAGGACUCUUGCAAACAUCUACGAUGGUCUUGAAGAAAUCAUCUGCCUACCAAGCAACCAAGUUUGCUCCUCCCAGCAGAGGAGCAUGUUGGAUGGAGAAAUGGACGGUUCUCUUGAGCUGCUAGAUCUCUGCAGCGCCAUGCAAGAGAUCUUUGUCGAGAUGAAGGCCAUCAUCCAAGAGCUGCAAGUGGCUCUAAGGAAAGGUGAUGACGCAGCUACUCAGGUCAAGAUCCAAUCCUACACCCGCUUGGUGAAGAAGUCGAAGAAUCUUUUCAAGAAGACCGCGAAGAAGGCUCCUGCAGAUUGUAGCAUGGUCAUGCUGUUGGCCAAGGCUAGAGAGAUCGCUUUGUCUCUGCUGGAGUCCACACUCCAUCUCUUGUCGAAGCAAAUCGAAAUGCCUAAACAGUCUCUUGUUUCCAAGGCAUUUCACAAGAAGAAGGCAGCUGUUUGCAAGGAGGAUCAAUUGUUGGGGCUAGAGUGCAGUAUCGGAGAUCUCGAGAGUGGAGCAGGACAUCUGUUCAGAAAAUUAGUCCAGAGCAGAGUUUCCCUACUCAACAUCCUUAGCUCAUAG
rnacentral:rRNA from 1 species